UACGUAGGUGGCAAGCGUUAUCCGGAUUUACUGGGUGUAAAGGGCGUGUAGGCGGGACUGCAAGUCAGAUGUGAAAAUUAUGGGCUCAACCCAUAACCUGCAUUUGAAACUGUAGUUCUUGAGUGAUGGAGAGGCAGGCGGAAUUCCGUGUGUAGCGGUGAAAUGCGUAGAUAUACGGAGGAACACCAGUGGCGAAGGCGGCCUGCCGGACAUUAACUGACGCUGAGGCGCGAAAGCGUGGGGAGCAAACAGG
rnacentral:rRNA from 1 species